GCUGGCGGCGUGCUUAACACAUGCAAGUCGAACGAACCUUCGGGUUAGUGGCGGACGGGUGAGUAACGCGUGAGAAUCUGCCCUCAGGAGGGGGAUAACGGCUGGAAACGGCCGCUAAUACCCCAUAUGCCGAAAGGUGAAACGAAAUUCGCCUGAGGAUGAGCUCGCGUCUGAUUAGCUAGUUGGUGGGGUAAAGGCCUACCAAGGCGUCGAUCAGUAGCUGGUCUGAGAGGAUGAUCAGCCACACUGGGACUGAGACACGGCCCAGACUCCUACGGGAGGCAGCAGUGGGGAAUUUUCCGCAAUGGGCGAAAGCCUGACGGAGCAACGCCGCGUGAGGGAAGAAGGCCUCUGGGCUGUAAACCUCUUUUCUCAAGGAAGAAGAUCUGACGGUACUUGAGGAAUAAGCCACGGCUAAUUCCGUGCCAGCAGCCGCGGUAAUACGGGAGUGGCAAGCGUUAUCCGGAAUUAUUGGGCGUAAAGCGUCCGCAGGCGGCCUUUCAAGUCUGCUGUUAAAGCGUGGAGCUUAACUCCAUUAAGGCAGUGGAAACUGUUGGGCUUGAGUGUGGUAGGGGCAGAGGGAAUUCCCGGUGUAGCGGUGAAAUGCGUA
rnacentral:rRNA from 1 species